rnacentral:rRNA from 1 species
AGAGUUUGAUCAUGGCUCAGAUUGAACGCUGGCGGCAGGCCUAACACAUGCAAGUCGAACGGUAACAGGAAGAAGCUUGCUUCUUUGCUGACGAGUGGCGGACGGGUGAGUAAUGUCUGGGAAACUGCCUGAUGGAGGGGGAUAACUACUGGAAACGGUAGCUAAUACCGCAUAACGUCGCAAGACCAAAGAGGGGGACCUUCGGGCCUCUUGCCAUCGGAUGUGCCCAGAUGGGAUUAGCUAGUAGGUGGGGUAACGGCUCACCUAGGCGACGAUCCCUAGCUGGUCUGAGAGGAUGACCAGCCACACUGGAACUGAGACACGGUCCAGACUCCUACGGGAGGCAGCAGUGGGGAAUAUUGCACAAUGGGCGCAAGCCUGAUGCAGCCAUGCCGCGUGUAUGAAGAAGGCCUUCGGGUUGUAAAGUACUUUCAGCGGGGAGGAAGGGAGUAAAGUUAAUACCUUUGCUCAUUGACGUUACCCGCAGAAGAAGCACCGGCUAACUCCGUGCCAGCAGCCGCGGUAAUACGGAGGGUGCAAGCGUUAAUCGGAAUUACUGGGCGUAAAGCGCACGCAGGCGGUUUGUUAAGUCAGAUGUGAAAUCCCCGGGCUCAACCUGGGAACUGCAUCUGAUACUGGCAAGCUUGAGUCUCGUAGAGGGGGGUAGAAUUCCAGGUGUAGCGGUGAAAUGCGUAGAGAUCUGGAGGAAUACCGGUGGCGAAGGCGGCCCCCUGGACGAAGACUGACGCUCAGGUGCGAAAGCGUGGGGAGCAAACAGGAUUAGAUACCCUGGUAGUCCACGCCGUAAACGAUGUCGACUUGGAGGUUGUGCCCUUGAGGCGUGGCUUCCGGAGCUAACGCGUUAAGUCGACCGCCUGGGGAGUACGGCCGCAAGGUUAAAACUCAAAUGAAUUGACGGGGGCCCGCACAAGCGGUGGAGCAUGUGGUUUAAUUCGAUGCAACGCGAAGAACCUUACCUGGUCUUGACAUCCACAGAACUUUCCAGAGAUGGAUUGGUGCCUUCGGGAACUGUGAGACAGGUGCUGCAUGGCUGUCGUCAGCUCGUGUUGUGAAAUGUUGGGUUAAGUCCCGCAACGAGCGCAACCCUUAUCUUUUGUUGCCAGCGGUCCGGCCGGGAACUCAAAGGAGACUGCCAGUGAUAAACUGGAGGAAGGUGGGGAUGACGUCAAGUCAUCAUGGCCCCUUACGACCAGGGCUACACACGUGCUACAAUGGCGCAUACAAAGAGAAGCGACCUCGCGAGAGCAAGCGGACCUCAGAAAGUGCGUCGUAGUCCGGAUUGGAGUCUGCAACUCGACUCCAUGAAGUCGGAAUCGCUAGUAAUCGUGGAUCAGAAUGCCACGGUGAAUACGUUCCCGGGCCUUGUACACACCGCCCGUCACACCAUGGGAGUGGGUUGCAAAAGAAGUAGGUAGCUUAACCUUCGGGAGGGCGCUUACCACUUUGUGAUUCAUGACUGGGGUGAAGUCGUAACAAGGUAACCGUAGGGGAACCUGCGGUUG